UCGAGAAUUUUUCACAAUGGGGGCAACCCUGAUGGAGCGACGCCGCGUGGAGGAUGAAGGCUUUCGGGUUGUAAACUCCUGUCAUUUGGGAACAAGGUGCAUCGAUUAACUGUCGAUGCAUUGAUAGUACCAGAAGAGGAAGAGACGGCUAACUCUGUGCCAGCAGCCGCGGUAAUACAGAGGUCUCAAGCGUUGUUCGGAUUCAUUGGGCGUAAAGGGUGCGUAGGUGGCGGGGUAAGUCAGGUGUGAAAUUUCGGAGCUUAACUCCGAAACUGCAUUUGAUACUGCCUUGCUUGAGGACUGGAGAGGAGAUUGGAAUUCACGGUGUAGCAGUGAAAUGCGUAGAUAUCGUGAGGAAGACCAGUGGCGAAGGCGGAUCUCUGGACAGUUCCUGACACUGAGGCACGAAGGCUAGGGGAGCAAACGGG
rnacentral:rRNA from 1 species